rnacentral:rRNA from 1 species
GUCUACAGCCCUACCACCCUGAAUGUGCCCUAUCUCUCUGGUCUUGGAAGCUAAGCAGGGUCAGGCCUGGUUAGUACUUGGAUAAAAGGCAGAUCUUCAAAAGAGACUGCUCAGAGACAAGCAGUUUGGAGACA